CAGAAUUGUUGACAUUUUUGCAUAUUUAUUAAAAAAGAAAAACUGAAAUAUCACAUGGUUCUAAGUAUUCAGACCCUUUGCUGUGACACUUAUAUAUUUAACUCAGGUGCUGUCCAUUACUUCUGAUCAUCCUUGAGAUGGUUCUACACCUUCAUUUGAGUCCAGCUGUGUUUGAUUAUACUGAUUGGACUUGAUUAGGAAAGCCACACACCUGUCUAUAUAAGACCUUACAGCUCACAGUGCAUGUCAGAGCAAAUGAGAAUCAUGAGGUCAAAGGAACUGCCUGAAGAGCUCAGAGACAGAAUUGUAGCAAGGCCCGUCUUUGUUUAUUCAGUCAUUGUUUCAUUUGCGUCUAUCUACAAUAAUUCUGAAUGCCUCGUACAGGAAUGGGAUACUGCCGCUGUCAUUUCCCUUCAUCCUCCCCACCACCACCAGGUUGGCCCUAUCCAUGCGGGGGGUAGGCUCCGCCCUGCCUUCGUCUUUGGCAGGAUUAGCUGGUAUCUACAAACUUCAGAUCCACGCUACGGAUGGGGCCUAGGGCAAAAUAAUUCUAUUUUUUGUGUUUUUGUAAAUAAAUAUUCAGUCUUAUCUCUACCUCCUGAGUCUUUCUGGUAG
ensembl:lncRNA